UCUCAAGCAGGCUGUGAAACAAAUCUCUGAGUGACAUCUCAUUACAGCCAGAGACAACAUUGUACAACAGAAACUCUCACUGCACGAACUCAGAAGAACACGGGAUUCGAUAGUCGCUAUGGAAACGGCGAACGAACCGCUGGGCCUCAUCGGCACAUGCGCGAGAUACCCCAGAGCGGCGGCGUCCAGUUCUGCAGCAUUUCGACAGGAGGCGCUUCUUGUCUCUGACUGCAAGGGCAGAAAGGUUCCGUUCGGGAUGAAUCCGUCCACCACGUCAAACAGAUCCAGCUCGUACAGCGGCUUCCUGCUGCCCUGCCGGAGCUGGUUCGGGCGCCCCUCGGCACCACCCGCCACCAGGCCCCGAGGGAGCCGGGCAGGACACACGGGGUCAUCCUGGUCC